rnacentral:snRNA from 1 species
AUACUUACCUGGCAGGGGGAGAUACCAUGAUCACAAAGGUGGUUUUCCCCAGGCGAGGCUGAUACAUUGCACUCCAUAUGUGCUGACACCUUCGAUUGCCCCAAAUGUGGAAAACUCGACUGCAUAAUUUGUGGUAAUGAGGAACUGCGUUCUCACUCUGCCCUU